GACGAACGCUGGCGGCGUGCUUAACACAUGCAAGUCGAACGGAAAGGCCCUGCUUGCAGGGUACUCGAGUGGCGAACGGGUGAGUAACACGUGGGUGAUCUGCCCUGCACUUCGGGAUAAGCCUGGGAAACUGGGUCUAAUACCGGAUAGGAGCCAUUUUUAGUGUGAUGGUUGGAAAGUUUUUUCGGUGUAGGAUGAGCUCGCGGCCUAUCAGCUUGUUGGUGGGGUAAUGGCCUACCAAGGCGGCGACGGGUAGCCGGCCUGAGAGGGUGGACGGCCAAAUUGGGACUGAGAUCCGGCCCAGCCUCCUACGGGGGGCAGCAGGGGGGAAUAUUGCAAAAUGGGCGCAAGCCUGAGGCAGCGACCCCGGGUGGGGGAUGACGGCCUUCGGUUUGUAAACCCCUUUCGCUAGGGACGAAGUUUUUUGUGACGGUACCUAGAUAAGAAGCCCCGGCUAACUACGU
rnacentral:rRNA from 1 species